rnacentral:rRNA from 1 species
GGAAGUAAAAGUCGUAACAAGGUUUCCGUAGGUGAACCUGCGGAAGGAUCAUUACUGAUUUAGCGAACCGAGCAUUAGCGAGGUUUUGCGAUCAAUUUAUAUUUAAAACCCACUCUUUAAUGUAUAAAAUUUGUAUUAAUGAUAAAUUAAAAGAUCACUUUCAACAACGGAUCUCUUGGCUCUCGCAUCGAUGAAGAACGUAGCGAAGUGCGAUAAGUAAUGUGAAUUGCAGUAUUCCGUGAAUCAUCGAAUCUUUGAACGCAUAUUGCACUUUCUGGUAUUCCGGAAAGUAUGCCUGUUUGAGGGUCAAUUAAAAAAAAUCGGGCGUUUUUGCUGUCCGGAAUUGGGUCGUCAUAACCUUUCGGUUAAGUAACCUAAAAUUUUGUAUGAUUUUUGAACGUAUUUAAAUUUUAUUUGUACGUUUGAGAUAUCGAAUGUUUAUUAGGUUCGGUCAUUCUAAUGACCCGCGCCUAUAGUUUUUUCAUUAAAUGACCUCAAAUCAGGUAAGAAUACCCGCUGAACUUAAGCAUAUCAAUAAGCGGAGGA